rnacentral:rRNA from 1 species
UCUUCCCCUUCGGGGGACAAAGUGACAGGUGGUGCAUGGUUGUCGUCAGCUCGUGUCGUGAGAUGUUGGGUUAAGUCCCGCAACGAGCGCAACCCUUAAGCCUAGUUGCCAGCAUUAAGUUGGGCACUCUAAGUUGACUGCCGGUGACAAACCGGAGGAAGGUGGGGAUGACGUCAAAUCAUCAUGCCCCUUAUGAUUUGGGCUACACACGUGCUACAAUGGACAAUACAAAGGGCAGCUAAACCGCGAGGUCAUGCAAAUCCCAUAAAGUUGUUCUCAGUUCGGAUUGUAGUCUGCAACUCGACUACAUGAAGCUGGAAUCGCUAGUAAUCGUAGAUCAGCAUGCUACGGUGAAUACGUUCCCGGGUCUUGUACACACCGCCCGUCACACCACGAGAGUCUGUAACACCCGAAGCCGGUGGAGUAACCAUUUAUGGAGCUAGCCGUCGAAGGUGGGACAAAUGAUUGGGGUGAAGUCGUAACAAGGUAGCCGUAUCGGA